AAGACACUUAGGAGAUGAUAACCUGCUAGGGUGCCUGGCCUCCACUCUUCCUCUGGUCUCAGACCCCCUGUGCGGAUCUGGGGGGAGGUGAGGCCCACAUAGUAUGUCACCUGUGUGGGCUUGGGGCUGCAGCAGGCACCUGAGCUGGGAUGUCCCUGUUGCUUCCUGUGGGCCUGUUUGGAGCAGUCCCUGCAUGUUGGGUUGGGAAACCACAGCGUCUGCAGUGUCGUGGUGGAGAGGGCUUGGCACUGCUUGGAUUUGAAUGGGAUUGAGAUCAGGAGAGUCCCUUUAACCAGCACUCGACAGCUGAGCAAGGCAUGGGGCUUGGGGGCAGAGGGUAUUUGCCAUCGGUGUUGGUCGUGGAGGAAAUCCCCUCUCCCAAAGCCGGCAGGGCAGAAGUGACCGGCCGUGGGCAGCAGGAGAGCUCUGUGGCUCCUUAAAAGAGCUCGGUUUAGGGGAGCAGAGUUUGGCCAGGUUCAGACCCAACCUGAUACUCGAACAGGUUCUGCGAAGCUCCCCCCAAUGGAGACCUCUGUUGUUUUUCUAGGCUUUGAAAGGGGGAAGAAAAACGCAACCAGGAAGCCCCGCAAAGCGGGCGUGGGUGGGUGGGGGGCCCGUGCUGUGGCUGCAGCGACUCCGUGGGAGGUCCCACUUCCGAGAACGAAGAGGAUUUGGGGAGAAACGGGGAACGAUUGCUUGUGAAGAGGGCGCCGCGCUCCCGAGCGGGGUGGUGGUCCCGACUCGGUUCCUGGCCGGUUAACAAAGUUAUUAAUAACCAAUUAAGCCAGCGCCGGCGUUGUGCCGGCCUCCGAGGUUCCUCCCGCAGGACGCAGCGGCCUCCCCUCCGAGGAGAGAGGGUGCGAGGGAGGACGGCGGCUCUCGCGGCCGAGGAGGAGGCUGCUCGCCCGCCCGCUGUUCCCGGGCUGUUCCCGGGCUCCCGCGCAGCGGGGAGGAGGGGGACGGGCCGCUGGAGCGGGGCCCGCCGCGAUAAUUCACGGCGUGCCGGAUGCGCUGCGCGACCCGCCAGGAUCCGGGCGCUGUGCCCCUCCUGAAGCCGCCUAUUCAGGGGGGAGAUGGGGAAGACAAGAGGGAGGAAGCCGAGGGAAGACGGAGCACUGAAGCCUUCUGUUCGCCGCCGGCGACGGAUGCAGGUGCAGCCGCGGCGGCCCUGGACGCUUCGGCUUCUUUGCGCCGCCUUUUCCUGAGGGCAAAGCGGAGGUGCUGGCGGAGGGACGGCUCCAGGCCGCGGCUCCCGGCCCCGCUCUCGCCCGCUUCCCGCGUGGCCUCUGCUCCUGCGGAUCUGGGUGUCGAGAAAUGCUCCUGCAGAAUUGGAAACCACAGCCUUCCUUCGGGCAAAGGAGCUCAGGAGACCCCUGGGCCUGCUGCAAAGGUGACGGCGCAGCUCCAGCAGCGCUUUCAGGCUGACUGAUGUAAGGCACUACCAUUAGCACAGGUUUGCAUACAAAUUGUGUACCUGCAGUCUGGAUGCAGACCCUGUGGACCCAUGUGUCUAAUCAAAGCAGACAACAGCGCAAUUCAGACCUUGCAUAUUUCAAUGAAAUAUUCAUAAGUCCAGGAGGGAGUAAACUGGAGCAAACAUCGCUUCAUAUGAAUCUGAAUAUAUUCCGUAUCCCUCUCAGCAACACGUAGAUAGCUCAGAAAAUUCAGAAGGCAGCUUCCGCAUGUCAAAAAAAAUCCUGCUGCUUUGGCUCUAAGGGCAAUAAUGAUUGCAUUUGCCCAUGUUCACAUUAUUGUCUCACUUCUCAUUUAAUCAAUAAAUUUCCAAAAU